AGGUGAUUCGAAAUGCACGUGCACAUCGAUACCUCCCGGAGUUAUGAUCAGUCCUUCUGCCGAAACGACUUCUGUGGCGCAGCCUACGAUGAGUCCCGGCGUUAUAUCCAUCGUGUCAGGAUUUCCCGCCUUGCCUAUGCCUACUAUCACGCCAUCCUUGAUACCGAUAUCUCCCUUUACGAUACCGAUCAUAGGGUCUAUUAUCACGGCAUUGCUGACACAGACAUCCAGCACGCCUUCGUCGGUGGUCUUUCCUGCCAUAUUGCCCAUGCCGUCUCU
rnacentral:sRNA from 1 species